CCCCUCUCAGGGUAGCAUCUGGAGGGUUUCCAGUACUCUACCAGUCUCGGCUAUGGGAGGGAGAGUCAAGCAGAGGUCCACCCGUUCCAUUCCUAGCUUGGCCAGUGGCUAGGAAGUGGAAGGCCAUCUGCUACAAAU